ensembl:lncRNA
AGAAAAUUAAAAAUUCAUUCUAUAUUCUCUGAGAAACAACUUAAAAACUUUCAGAAACCUAUCUUGUUCUGAUACAAUGUCCAAUCUGGAAGAUAUUCUUUGUCCAGUUUUCAAAAAUGAGGCUAUGUAAUAAAUAUGGAUUAAUAAUCAACAUAUUCCUUUAGAGAUGAGUAAUCUGUAUUAUUCUCUGAUAGGUGUGGAUAUGUUUUACUUUCUAUCAUGUCAAGUAGUAAUGUCUAGUAUAUUUUAAGCAACAGUUAUCUACCACAUUUUCCUAUUUGUAUGAUUUAUCCCUAGUAAUGAGUCUCUCACAUUAUGGUUAGAAAUGUGAAUAAAGGCUAUUCUAUACCUUUACAUUCGUAAAUUAUUUUUUUCCAAAACAAAAUAUUUUGAUGUUAUGAAGUACACAUUUUUCUCAAAGUCACUCUAGUCAAUACAUAUGUAAGGUUUUAAUAAAAAUCUGUAUCCUCUCAUGUUGAAGACUGAAUGUCCAUGAAAUUUUUUUCAUAUUUUUGUAUUUGUAGGGUUUUUCUCCAGUAUAAAUUCUCUUGUUAAUUAAAAUCUGAAAAAUUGUUACAAGCUUUUCCAGAUUUACCUUUAUAGGAUUUUUAUCUAACAUGAAUUUGGUGAUGUUGUCUAAGAUUGGAAGUAUGUGUUCUUUGGUGCCGAGAAAGAUGUGAAAUUUGAUUAAAAGUUUUGUCACAUUCUGUGCAUUUGUAAGGUUUCUCUCCAGUAUGAAUUCUCUGGUGUUUAGUAAGGGUUGAGCUUUGAUUAAAGGCUUUGCCACAUUCUUUACAUUUGUAUGGUUUCUCUGCAGUGUGUAUUCUUUCAUGAUUACUAAGGUUAGACCUUCGAUCAAAUGCUUUGCCACACUGUUUACAUUUGUAGGGUUUCUCUCCCAUAUGUAUUCUCUGGUGUUGAGUAAGAGGUGAAAUUUGGCUAAAGGUUUUGUCACAUACUUUACAUUUGUAGGGUUUCUCUUUAGUACAGAUUCUCUGGUGUUGAGUAAGUAUUGACUUUUCAAUAUAGGCUUUGCCAGAUUCUCUACAUUUAUACAAUUUCUCUCCAGUAUUAAUUGUCUGAUGCUUAGUAAAUGUUGAGUUUUGAUUAAAUGUAUCAGAAUUUUUACAACUGUAGGAUUUCUCUCCAGUAAGAAUUAACUGGUAUUGAGCAGGGGUUAAGUGAUACUUAAAGGAUUUAGCAUUUUCUUUAAAUUUGUAGGACUUCUCUCCAGUAUGAAUGCUCUGAUGUUGAUUAAAGAUAGAAUCAUCAACAAAAGCUUUGCCACAGUCUUUAUAGUUAUACACCUUGUCUUGAAAAUGGGCACUUUGAUGGGUAGUAAGUUGUGAGCACUGGUCAAAGACUCUCCCACAUGUAUCACAUUUAUAAAUAUUCUUUGAAAAAUGUUGUUUACUAGGAUUUGAGCCAUGGUUAAAGUUUUCAGUAAUUUUAUUACAAGGAUAAAUUUUCUGUUCAAUAUGAGCAUCCUGGCAAUUAUGUAGAGUAGAGUUGUUCUUAAAGGCCUUCCCAUUUUCAUUAUAUAUGUCACGAGUUUGCCAAAUAUCUAUAUAUGGACUUUGACUGUGCAUUAAUGGAUAGGUAAAUUCCUUCCCAUGUUUGUCAAAACUGCAUAUUUUGGCACAGGAAAAGGUACACUUAAUAGUCUGAUGUGGAUUACUAAAAUGAAGUGGCAUAAAUUCAGAUAUAUUCUGUGAUGCUACAUGUUCUUGAUUUCUAUUGACAGUGAAGCUUUUGUUAUUUUCAGUUGUCAUACAUUGGUGGUGUCCAUUAUGAAAUGGAUUCUCAUCUUCACACUUACCAAUUUUCCAGUCUUUCUUUAAGUGCAAACUGCUAAAGCCACAAUUUCCAGAUCUUUGAUUUAUCACUUUUUGAAAUGAAUGUUUCAUGUCCUUCUCUGAUGAAA